AAUGGUUUAUCGGUUAUAAUUUUAUGAUCAAUGAUUUCAGACUGUUUAGAUUCAAGUGUAGUUGUUUUAGAUACCUCAUCAGUGGUGUCAGUUUUUUCAACGGUUUUUAAUGUAACUGAAUCCUUAGAGUCAGUUUUAUCAAUUUUAGUUUUAUCAGAUGUUGUUAUUUUGGAAUCUUUAUCGUGUUCUACAAUGUCAUCGAAAUCUCUUUCACUAAUAAUUGAUUUAACACUUUCUUUCGAAUCAGAUUUUGUUAGGAUGGAUGUUUCGGUCAAUGGUUUAUCGGUUAUAAUUUUAGAUUCAAUUGUAGUUAUUUUAGAUACCUCAUCAGUGGUGUCAGUUUUAUGAAGUUUAGUUUUAUCAGAGGUUGUUAUUUUGGUAUCUUUGUCGAGUUCUACAUUGUCAUCGAAAUCUUUUUCACUAAUUAUUGAUUUAACACUUUCUUUCGAAUCAGAUUUUGUUAGGAUGGAUGUUUCGGGCAAAGGUUUAUCGGUUAUAAUUUUA